rnacentral:rRNA from 1 species
AGUGAACGCUGGCGGAGGCCUAACACCUGCAAGUCGAACGGCAGCACAGUAAGAGCUUGCUCUUCCGGGUGGCGAGUGGCGGACGGGUGAGGAAUACAUCGGAAUCUACUUUUUCGUGGGGGAUAACGUAGGGAAACUUACGCUAAUACCGCAUACGACCUACGGGUGAAAGCAGGGGAUCUUCGGACCUUGCGCGAUUGAAUGAGCCGAUGUCGGAUUAGCUAGGUGGCGGGGUAAAGGCCCACCAAGGCGACGAUGCGUAGCUGGUCCGAGAGGAUGAGCGGCCGCAGUGGAACUGAGACACGGUACAGACUCCUACGGGAGGCAGCAGUCGGGAAUGUUGCGCAAGGGGCGAAAGCCGGACGGAGGAAUGGCGCGUGAGGGACGACGGUCUUCGGAUCGUAAAAGUCUGUGAUUAGGGAAGAACAUAUGUGUAAGUACCUGUGCGCACCUUGACGGUACCUAAUCAGAAAGCCACGGCUAACUACGUG